rnacentral:rRNA from 1 species
UACGGGAGGCAGCAGUGGGGAAUAUUGCUACAAUGGGCGCAAGCCUGAUGCAGCCAUGCCGCGUGUAUGAAGAAGGCCUUCGGGUUGUAAAGGUACUUUCAGCAGUGAGGAAGGUGGGUAUGUUAAUAGCAUAUUCAUUUGACGUUAGCUGCAGAAGAAGCACCGGCUAACUCCGUGCCAGCAGCCGCGGUAAUACGGAGGGUGCGAGCGUUAAUCGGAAUUACUGGGCGUAAAGCGCAUGCAGGUGGUUUGUUAAGUCAGAUGUGAAAGCCCGGGGCUCAACCUCGGAAUUGCAUUUGAAACUGGCAAACUAGAGUACUGUAGAGGGGGUAGAAUUUCAGGUGUAGCGGUGAAAUGCGUAGAGAUCUGAAGGAAUACCGGUGGCGAAGGCGGCCCCCUGGACAGAUACUGACACUCAGAUGCGAAAGCGUGGGGAGCAAACAGGAUUAGAUACCCUGGUAG